rnacentral:tRNA from 1 species
GCAGUCCUGGCCGAGUUGGCCGAGUGGUUAAGGCGAUGGACUAGCAAUCCAUUGGGGUCUCCCCGCACAGGUUCGAAUCCUGUCGACUGCG